rnacentral:tRNA from 1 species
GGAGAGAUGGCAGAGUGGUCGAUUGCGGCGGUCUUGAAAACCGUUGUGCCGUAAGGUACCGUGGGUUCGAAUCCUACUCUCUCCGCCU